rnacentral:rRNA from 1 species
GACGAACGCUGGCGGCGUGCUUAACACAUGCAAGUCGAACGGUAAGGCCCUUCGGGGUACACGAGUGGCGAACGGGUGAGUAACACGUGGGUGAUCUGCCCUGCACUUCGGGAUAAGCCUGGGAAACUGGGUCUAAUACCGGAUAGGACUCCUGGCUUCAUGGUUGGGGGUGGAAAGCACUUGCGGUGUGGGAUGGGCCCGCGGCCUAUCAGCUUGUUGGUGGGGUAAUGGCCUACCAAGGCGACGACGGGUAGCCGGCCUGAGGGGGUGACCGGUCACACUGGGACUGAGAUACGGCCCAGACUCCUACGGGAGGCAGCAGUGGGGAAUAUUGCACAAUGGGCGCAAGCCUGAUGCAGCGACGCCGCGUGAGGGAUGACGGCCUUCGGGUUGUAAACCUCUUUCAGCUAUGACGAAGCGCAAGUGACGGUAGUAGCAGAAGAAGGACCGGCCAACUACGUGCCAGCCGCCGCCGUAA